rfam:Corynebacterium testudinoris strain DSM 44614, complete genome.
CUGGCGCCACCUCGCUGAUGUGCGACGGAGUCCGUGGUGGUGUCAGAAGAGUUUUUCAGACGUCCAUCGCACCGUGCUGGAAGUGACAAUCCACACGGCCCGAACACGGGAGAGAACGCUGAGCGUUACAAC